rnacentral:rRNA from 1 species
AAAUUGAAGAGUUUGAUCAUGGCUCAGAUUGAACGCUGGCGGCAGGCCUAACACAUGCAAGUCGAGCGGAAACGAGUUAUCUGAACCUUCGGGGAACGAUAACGGCGUCGAGCGGCGGACGGGUGAGUAAUGCCUAGGAAAUUGCCCUGAUGUGGGGGAUAACCAUUGGAAACGAUGGCUAAUACCGCAUGAUGCCUACGGGCCAAAGAGGGGGACCUUCGGGCCUCUCGCGUCAGGAUAUGCCUAGGUGGGAUUAGCUAGUUGGUGAGGUAAGGGCUCACCAAGGCGACGAUCCCUAGCUGGUCUGAGAGGAUGAUCAGCCACACUGGAACUGAGACACGGUCCAGACUCCUACGGGAGGCAGCAGUGGGGAAUAUUGCACAAUGGGCGCAAGCCUGAUGCAGCCAUGCCGCGUGUGUGAAGAAGGCCUUCGGGUUGUAAAGCACUUUCAGUCGUGAGGAAGGUAGUGUAGUUAAUAGCUGCAUUAUUUGACGUUAGCGACAGAAGAAGCACCGGCUAACUCCGUGCCAGCAGCCGCGGUAAUACGGAGGGUGCGAGCGUUAAUCGGAAUUACUGGGCGUAAAGCGCAUGCAGGUGGUUUGUUAAGUCAGAUGUGAAAGCCCGGGGCUCAACCUCGGAAUAGCAUUUGAAACUGGCAGACUAGAGUACUGUAGAGGGGGGUAGAAUUUCAGGUGUAGCGGUGAAAUGCGUAGAGAUCUGAAGGAAUACCGGUGGCGAAGGCGGCCCCCUGGACAGAUACUGACACUCAGAUGCGAAAGCGUGGGGAGCAAACAGGAUUAGAUACCCUGGUAGUCCACGCCGUAAACGAUGUCUACUUGGAGGUUGUGGCCUUGAGCCGUGGCUUUCGGAGCUAACGCGUUAAGUAGACCGCCUGGGGAGUACGGUCGCAAGAUUAAAACUCAAAUGAAUUGACGGGGGCCCGCACAAGCGGUGGAGCAUGUGGUUUAAUUCGAUGCAACGCGAAGAACCUUACCUACUCUUGACAUCCAGAGAACUUUCCAGAGAUGGAUUGGUGCCUUCGGGAACUCUGAGACAGGUGCUGCAUGGCUGUCGUCAGCUCGUGUUGUGAAAUGUUGGGUUAAGUCCCGCAACGAGCGCAACCCUUAUCCUUGUUUGCCAGCGAGUAAUGUCGGGAACUCCAGGGAGACUGCCGGUGAUAAACCGGAGGAAGGUGGGGACGACGUCAAGUCAUCAUGGCCCUUACGAGUAGGGCUACACACGUGCUACAAUGGCGCAUACAGAGGGUAGCCAACUUGCGAAAGUGAGCGAAUCCCAAAAAGUGCGUCGUAGUCCGGAUUGGAGUCUGCAACUCGACUCCAUGAAGUCGGAAUCGCUAGUAAUCGUGGAUCAGAAUGCCACGGUGAAUACGUUCCCGGGCCUUGUACACACCGCCCGUCACACCAUGGGAGUGGGCUGCAAAAGAAGUAGGUAGUUUAACCUUCGGGGGGACGCUUACCACUUUGUGGUUCAUGACUGGGGUGAAGUCGUAACAAGGUAGCGCUAGGGGAACCUGGCGCUGGAUCACCUCCUUA